UUUGUGAUAUUUUUACAUACGCUGACUCGCAAUAAUUUCUUAAAUUUAGAACAAUAAAGAUAGAUUUAUAUAGUUAGACAAAUUACCUGUAGUAUAAUUAUAAAUCAUGCACCACUUUUAAAUUUGCAAGGUAAAAAAAUAAUAUUGGCCUUUUUUGCAUUUGCACCCCUCAAAAAAAUUAGGGAAAACUUAAAAAACCCCCUCGGUGGUUUCAUAGUUUCUCACUUUGCCCCCCUGUGGUUUAAAAUGUAUCAAUUUGCCCCCCUGUGAUUUCUUUUUUCUCUUUUUCAUAUCAAUUUCAUUAUUUUUUUUUCCUUAAAUCAGUGAUAAAGUUAAAAUUAAAGGGUACUAAAAUGAAUAUUUGAUAAAUCUAGAUGGGUAUCUGAAGUUUUUUGUAUAUAAUUUAAUAAAAUAUUAACGAAAAAGCUAUCGAAAAGAUAAAAACAAAACCACAAUGGGGCAAUUUAAUACAUUUUAAACCACAGUGAGGCAAAGUGAGAAACUAUGAAACCACUGGGGGGGUUUUUGAAGUUUUCCCAAAAAAUUAUUGGAAAAGUCUACCUGUACUCCUAUAGGAAGGUGUAUGUCCUACAACUAUCAGAUCCAAUGGCUGAUAUUAACCCACUAGCACAGUAGCUUCUAACCUCACCCCUUUUUUACUUUUUGCUAAAGCUAACCUAAAUUAAAUCCUACUACACUUCUCUCUCCCGCAUAGUUCCUCUCGCUAUCUCUGUUUCUCGCUCUCUCUCGCUUCCUCGCUUUCUCUCGCUCCCUCGCCUCUCGUUUGCUCUCGCGCUCUUCUCUCUCUCUCUUUUGCCCGCAGGGCACUCCAUC
rnacentral:lncRNA from 1 species